rnacentral:rRNA from 1 species
UGCGUAGGCGGACUAAUAAGUCAGUGGUGAAAUCUUUCGGCUCAACCGGGAAACUGCCAUUGAUACUGUUAGUCUUGAGUUCGGUUGAGGUAGGCGGAAUGUGUAAUGUAGCGGUGAAAUGCUUAGAUAUUACACAGAGCACCAAUUGCGUAGGCAGCUUACUAGACCGACACUGACGCUGAGGCACGAAAGCGUGGGGAGCGAACAGGAUUAGAUACCCUGGUAGUCC